UAGCCCAGAAGGGAAUUAUCAGUCAAAUCAACAUCGCUGCUUUAUUGAUUCCAAAUGGGAGGGGGGAAACACCUGAACUCACUGAUUUAUUCCCCCUACGCUGCGCAGGGCAGGGAGUACCGAUUAGGAACAACAGGAUCUGGUGGACUCUGACGUCUCGCACAAACUGCUGCACGGCGUAGUCCUUCAGGUAGCCAUAGCCCCCGUGCAUCUGCAGAGCCUGGUUACAGAUCUGAGGAGAGAACACUCACCAGUGAAGGGACACGGAGGACACGGCAGGGACAGGAGCUUGGGAUGCCGCAGCUCCAGUCCCACCCGCUGGGACACCCGGCAGCAAUGCAUCUGGGCAGCGCUCAGGAAUCCCGUAGGAGGAGAGCAGCU